GAUGAACGCUGGCGGCGUGCCUAAUACAUGCAAGUCGAGCAAAGCGGGGACGGGUGAGUAACACGUGGAUAACCUCCUAUAAGACUGGGAUAACUUCGGGAAACCGGAGCUAAACCGGAUACCUAUAGAUGGAUCGCCGCUGCAUUAGAGAGUUGGUAAGGUAACGGCUGACCAAGGCAACGAUGCAUAGCCGACCUUAGAGUGGGAUCGGCCACACGGGAACUGAGACACGGUCCAGACGCCGACGGGAGGCAGCAGUAGGGAAUCUUCCGCAAUGGGCGAAAGCCUGACGGAGCAACGCCGCGUGAGUGAUGGAGGUCUUCGGAUCGUAAAACUCUGGUAUUAGGGAAGCGGUACCUAAUCAGAAAGCCACGGCUAACUACGUGCCAGCAGCCGCGGUAAUUC
rnacentral:rRNA from 1 species